UACGGGGGGGGCAAGGGUUGUUCGGAAUUACUGGGCGUAAAGGGCUCGUAGGUGGCCAACUAAGUCAGACGUGAAAUCCCCAAGCUUAACUUGGGAACUGCGUCGGAUACUGGAUGGCUUGAAUUCGGCAGAGGGAUGCAGAAUUCCAGGUGUAGCGGUGAAAUGCGUAGAUAUCUGGAGGAAUACCGGUGGCGAAGGCGGCAUCCUGGACCGACAUUGACGCUGAGGAGCGAAAGCUAGGGGAGCAAACGGG
rnacentral:rRNA from 1 species